rnacentral:rRNA from 1 species
CCUACGGGAGGCAGCAGUAGGGAAUCUUGCGCAAUGGGCGAAAGCCUGACGCAGCAACGCCGCGUGAACGAGACGCCCUUCGGGGUGUAAAGUUCUGUCAGUGGGGACGAAAAAUGACGGUACGCACAGAGGAAGGACCGGCCAACUCCGAGCAAGCAGCCGCGGUAAUACGGAGGGAGCAAGCGUUGUCCGGAAUCAUUGGGCGUAAAGAGUUCGUAGGGGGCAUGUAUAGUCAGUUGUUAAGGUCGCAGGCUCCACCUGUGAAUGGCACUUGAUACUUGCAAGCUGGAAUGCGGGAGAGGUAACCGGAAUUCCUGGUGUAGCGGUGAAUUGCUUAGAUAUCAG